rnacentral:rRNA from 1 species
UUAAAUUGAAGAGUUUGAUCAUGGCUCAGAUUGAACGCUGGCGGCAGGCCUAACACAUGCAAGUCGAACGGUAACAGGAAGCAGCUUGCUGCUUCGCUGACGAGUGGCGGACGGGUGAGUAAUGUCUGGGAAACUGCCUGAUGGAGGGGGAUAACUACUGGAAACGGUGGCUAAUACCGCAUAACGUCGCAAGACCAAAGAGGGGGACCUUCGGGCCUCUUGCCAUCAGAUGUGCCCAGAUGGGAUUAGCUUGUUGGUGAGGUAACGGCUCACCAAGGCGACGAUCCCUAGCUGGUCUGAGAGGAUGACCAGCCACACUG